UCCGCUUAAAGAGGAGCCUGCGGCAGAUUAGCUAGUUGGUAAGGUAACGGCUUACCAAGGCUACGAUCUGUAUCCGGCCUGAGAGGGCGGUCGGACACACUGACACUGAAUAACGGGUCAGACUCCUACGGGAGGCAGCAGUCGGGAAUUUUGGGCAAUGGGCGAAAGCCUGACCCAGCAACGCCGCGUGAAGGAUGAAGUAUUUCGGUAUGUAAACUUC
rnacentral:rRNA from 1 species